UACGGGGGGGGCAAGCGUUGUUCGGAAUUACUGGGCGUAAAGGGCUCGUAGGCGGCCAACUAAGUCAGACGUGAAAUCCCCAGGCUUAACCUGGGAACUGCAUCCGAUACUGGAUGGCUUGAAUCCGGGAGAGGGAUGCAGAAUUCCAGGUGUAGCGGUGAAAUGCGUAGAUAUCAGGAGGAACACCGAUGGCGAAGGCAGCUCUCUGGCCUGUAACUGACGCUGAGGUGCGAAAGCGUGGGGAGCGAACAGG
rnacentral:rRNA from 1 species